GACGAACGCUGGCGGCGUGCUUAACACAUGCAAGUCGAACGGAAAGGCCCUGCUUGCAGGGUACUCGAGUGGCGAACGGGUGAGUAACACGUGGGUGAUCUGCCCUGCACUUCGUGAUAAGCCUGGGAAACUGGGUCUAAUAUCGGAUAGGAGCCAUUCUUAGUGUGAUGGUUGGAAAGUUUUUUCGGUGUAGGAUGAGCUCGCGGCCUAUCAGCUUGUUGGUGGGGUAAUGGCCUACCAAGGCGGCGACGGGUAGCCGGCCUGAGGGGGUGGACGGCCACAUUGGGACUGAGAUACGGCCCAGACUCCUACGGGAGGCAGCAGUGGGGAAUAUUGCACAAUGGGCGCAAGCCUGAUGCAGCGACGCCGCGUGGGGGAUGACGGCCUUCGGGUUGUAAACUCCUUUCGCUAGGGACGAAGCUUUUUGUGACGGUACCUAGAAAAGAAGCACCGGCUAACUACGUG
rnacentral:rRNA from 1 species